rnacentral:rRNA from 1 species
AUUGAACGCUGGCGGCAUGCCUUACACAUGCAAGUCGAACGGUAACAGGUCUCCGGAUGCUGACGAGUGGCGAAUGGGUGAGUAAUACAUCGGAACGUGCCUAGUAGUGGGGGAUAACUACUCGAAAGAGUGGCUAAUACCGCAUGAGAUCUACGGAUGAAAGCAGGGGAUCGCAAGACCUUGCGCUACUAGAGCGGCCGAUGGCAGAUUAGGUAGUUGGUGGGAUAAAAGCUUACCAAGCCGACGAUCUGUAGCUGGUCUGAGAGGACGAUCAGCCACACUGGGACUGAGACACGGCCCAGACUCCUACGGGAGGCAGCAGUGGGGAAUUUUGGACAAUGGGCGCAAGCCUGAUCCAGCAAUGCCGCGUGCAGGAUGAAGGCCUUCGGGUUGUAAACUGCUUUUGUACGGAACGAAAAGCCCUGGGUUAAUACCCUGGGGUCAUGACGGUACCGUAAGAAUAAGCACUGGCUAACUACGUGCCAGCCGCCGCAGUAA